AAGUCGUAACAAGGUAACCGUAGGUGAACCUGCGGUUGGAUCAUUAACAAAAUGAUUUCGUAGGGGGAUUUAUCUCUCUAUGAAAAAAAGGAGAGGGAGUUAGUCGAGUCUCUAGGGGCUUGAUUGCUUCUUCUCUGAAACCUUUGUGAACUAAUUUAUUGUCUCUGGUGGGAUGAAUCUUUUUUCUUCUCACCAGUAAACCCCUUGAACAUUUAUUUUUCAAUCGUCUCAUAACAAAAAACAAAAAAGAAACAACUUUUGACAACGGAUCUCUUGGCUCUC
rnacentral:misc_RNA from 1 species